rnacentral:lncRNA from 1 species
AAAGUUUAUGAAAAAUACUUUCUGUUAAAAUUAGUUGUUUUAUAUUUUCUUUUCUGUUUAUUUAUUAUGUUAGUAUUUUCUUUGUUGUUAAAUUUUACUUAGGACAAAGCUAUUUUGGGUUAUGUCUUAGAAUUUUCUUUAGUAGUUUUCUUGUGUAGUUUUCAUUGGUUUUUUUUUAUUUUGUGUUCUUUGUGAUUUGCAUUUUAUUUGUUGAUUUUUUUGUGAGUGUUAGAAAUUGCUUGCUAGUAUGUUUGCUUAUGUGAAUACUAUGUUUUACUAUAUAGAUUUUCAUCGGAGAGUUGCGUAUAGUGCUAUCAAGUUUUGCGAGAGUGAUAUUAUCUUCAUCAAGUAAUACCAGGCAAGUUCACUUUGACCAUGUUUUUCAUACCUAUGUUUUAUUGCAUUUAGUGUCAUCUUUGCAACAAUCCCUCCAGUAGUGAUAUUGAAUUCUUGUAGUUGAGUAGUAUGCAUGAGGUAGGAACCCAUCACCCUGUUACCAAGCCCGGGACGUUAUUUAUUUUAAUGCUACGCUAUAGUAGACGGGGUUUGGUAUGAGUGCACGAGAGUGGUGUGAAGAAGGAGGACUCUACGUCAAUGACGACAACUCCAUGAUGGCAUAUGCGAGGACUGCAUCUUCAAGGCCUCAAGACUUCAAGACUCGAGACAAGAAUUCAAUACACACUACUGGGUGAAGGACGGUUGACGGGCACCCUGGAGAAACCAGUGGAUGGCCGGGAUGCAUGGAGAAGCGCCAUGACAUCUUGCGGAAAGCUUCACCCAGACUCAAAGAGACGGAAGAAUACUUCAUGCCCGGAAGCUUACCUGUGCAAACGCAAGUCACUAUGGGCUCUGGCUUGGUUGACCUUAAUGGUGACUCUGGCUGGGACGGUGCCAGCAGAUGUAGAACUACGGUAGGGUUGGAUGAGCACCGGACAGUGGUCAGGGGAACUCUUCGGAAGACCAUGUUUCGAUCAUCCUGUUCUCAAACAUCAUGAAGUACGAGGACGAAAAGGGAGGGAUCAAAUCUUGCGGGUAAAGUGUACAAACCUCUGCAGAGGGUUAAAACCUAAUCGAUUAGCUGUGUCCCCGGUUAUGGACAAUUUGAGCCUCUGGACUUGGAUCUAUCUCGGAACUCUCAACACCGGACUGAUAACAUAAUUGUGGGCAAGUUAUGAUGAUUUUGGGCUCUCAGACAUCGGUUGGCGGAACCAUGUCCUGAUUGAAAACUCCGUAGUACAGACUCCUGAUGUUCCUUUGUUAUAGGAAAAUAAAAUUAGCUUUUACGCAAACAAAACUCAGAUACAGAGCCACAAAGCCAUAUUGCAUAUAGUAUAGUUUAUCAUCUGUUUUUCUUACAGCGAUCUUGCUGGUACAUUCAAUGUACUGACCUACACGGCUGCAACGUCUCAUGUUGCACAUAUGUUCCUUCCGACGAGUAAGAGUACGGUACAGGGUUACGGUAUACACUCAACCUGCCGAUUGCGUUGAUGGGACUCCACAUCCGAUUGUUUAUUUCCGCUGAGACUUAUGAGGUAUAUACCAGUUUUACGUUAUUUAUACAUGUGAUUGCACUUUGAUAUAUACAUUGAUGUACUGUGUGUGCCAGCAUACCGAUCCAGGGAUGGCGCAGAUACACAGAGGCUUGACCGUCUGAGGUUGGGUCGCUACAAAUAUGGUAUCAGAGCACAUGUUGACUGUAGGACGUGACCCUAGAAAUCGGAAAACCCUAGGACAGGAAAUCUCUAAGACUUUAUUUUUAAAAGGACCCAUUUCUUCUCAUCUUUUCUAAUUUUUAUCAAAUAACACCUCUUACCUCAAAUAGUUAGAAUAUACCCCUUUCCCUUUUGACCACCCGGAGGAUCAACUGAAGCCGCUUCAAGAAGGAUAAGAACACUGGACAAAUGAUGACCAAUUCAGAGUAAAGAGGAUUACACUAUAUAUUUCGGAGGAAAGAAGCUACAGCAGAUGAAGACUGUAAAGGCUUGAAGAAUUCAGAGACUCUGAAGAUUGAUUUGAACUUUAGAAGACCAAACCCCUGUUAUAUAUACUUACGUUAGAUACGACGAUUUGUGAGCUGUCAUUUGUAUGAUGUUUUUCCGACAGCUGCAAAUACAACCUAUUUUCAAAACUAUUUUUUGCAUCAUGUGUAUAUCUCUCUAUCUUCUCUCUUAUCUCACCCUAAAACCCUUGGACUCAAUAGAUGAUGAAUGAAGAAGGACUGGUAUUCUCUGGACCGAUGACUCAGCCGAAUGCAGAGCUAUGGAUUAAAAACAUGGAGGAUCACUUCGGGGAAAAAAUGAUUUCAAGGAAGUAUGAGGUUCAAGAUGCUAUUCAGUAUUUUACCGAGAGUGCUGCAACCUGGUGGAAAAUGCAUCAAGCCAUACAAGGAUGCAACGGAGCAAAAACUUGGGAGGAAUUCAAGAAGACUCUGUUGAGAUCUCGUCUUAUUCGUAAGAACUAUGAUAACCCGAAGAAGAAACCUUGUGCUUGCAAGAUUUGCGGAGAAGUAGGACACACCCAGGAGGAACACAAGGAUGGAUGUCCUCAUUGUGAGGAGAAUCACCCAACCGAAGAGUGCCCGACUGGGCAAGUUACUUGUUUCCUGUGUGAAGGAACUACACACUACCCUGGUCAGUGUCAUAUUUACCCCAAGGUACAAAAAAUUACCAAGCAGCAGAAAGAAGCCAUGAAAGAAACCCUCAGGGAAAAUUCAGAAGAACCUGCGAUGAAGGAAGUUAUUGAAGACCCUAAUGGUGAAGGCCUAAACAGAUUUUUCGCCCAAGCUUGCUGUUCAUGUGGAGAAGAAGGACAUUUUUCAGAGUAUUGCACGAAGGAAAGCCAAGAGUAUCUCAGAGACUUCCCGACAACAAAAGUGAAGUUUGACCCUCAGGAAAUAGAAGCUGUGAUCAUUACAGAGAAAUCCAGGAAGAGAAAACGAAGGCAACCCCAGAACAACCCAAUUUCUGCAGGAAAGGACCUGAGUCAGAUCACUUGUUACAAGUGCAAGACCUCAGGUCACUAUGCCAAUAAAUGUCCAUAGAAGAAGCCAAAAUCCAAGGAGCCUACAUAAUCACAAAGAAGCCCCGAGAUAUUUGUUUUCGCUGCAAGGAAGCAGGACAUUUUUCUAGGGAAUGUUCAAAUCAGAAGAAAGCUGGAGCUGAGUAGUUGAGAUUUUGAUAUGGAUAAUAAGAGUGGUAGAAAGCAAUCUUAUUUUCAUAAGUUCGAUGAGUUGAGUUAUGUAACGGGUGCUCAGAGAUUGUAAUGAAUUCAUGAAAUCAAUAAAGUUAAUGUGUUAUGAUUUCUUAUGUUGUAUUAUGUGAGUUUUUACCCUAUGAACAAAGAUUUUGGACCAGUUUCGAGGAUAUGAGAAAUAUGGUCUAUGGAUGGAUUUGUGAAUUUCAUUUAAGGGUGGUAGUACCCUGUGAAGAACAGUUGACCCAUGGAAAGGAUAAUGAUAUUUCAGGGAGUGAAGUUUGGACAAAAUAGGUAUGAGUUUUGUUUUGAUAUGUUGGUUACCCCAAGAAUAUGAAGGAAUGAAGCAAUAUUGGAAUUUAAGGAGGUGUAAUGUUGGAAUAUGGAACAAUUGUAACUCCAAGGAUGAGUUGUACAAGUGUUGAAGUGGGCCAUAACCCACAGGCCCAGGGUUUGAAAAGGAACAGACAUAACUUUGAUGAAGGAAGAAAAUUGAAAGAAGCUAUGAUUCCAUCAGCAGACAUUUCCUUAGGAGGUUACGAAAACCCAAGAGUUGUGAAGAACGGUAGAUGUUUUGUUCAGGUUGCAGAAAUAAUGGAAUUAUCCGAACUAAGUUCGUCGACAAGAGAAAUUCUGCAAUGCUUGUGAGGAUGCCCAAGUGUUAGACUACAUGAUUCACCGUCUGCGUAUGUAGUAAUGGUUCAAGUAUGGGAUGGAUUGGCCCUCAUACCGGAGACUUCUAUCAUGAACUAUCAUAUGUUGAUGGAAAAUCAGAGAGACUUGAAAACCUUAGAAGAGUGUCGGCGCGAUAAGCCAUAAAAUCAUAGAAUGGUAGGACGAUGGAACCCUUUACAGGCAAUCGUUGCCAAUCGUAGGAUAUACGGUGAGAUUCAACCCCGGCCAUUUUCCUGCAGGAGAAGCCAUAAAUUGUUGACUGCCAGGAGGUUCCGAUAGUUUCUUAGUAUUGACGACAGACAUGUCAGAUAUAAAGAUCCACUCUUCAGAAGAACCUCAUCAGGAUUGAGAGGACACGAGAUUUUGAGAAAAGUCAUGCCCCGACCGGAAGAGCACCACUGAAAGAGUUAUCCCUAAGAAUAUGAGAAGACCGACACCAUCAACCCAAAGGAUGGAGUACAUGAAUUUUGUCAGAACCAUAGCCUUGCUUUUAAGUGUGGUAGCACCCAAGACCUCUCUGGUCGAAGGAUUUGCUGGAAGACCUCCAAACCCUAACCUUUUCUUGCUAGCCGCUUCGAAUCUCGAGGACGAGAUUCAUUUUAAGUGUGGUAGGUUUGUAACAUCCCAAAAUUCUAAAUUUUGGAAUGUUAUAUUAAAUAAAUAGUUUUGAUUGUUUGUUUGAUUUUUGUGUGAAUGAUUGAGUGAAGUUGAGUGCAAUUUGAAACUUUUUGAAAGCUGAAUGAGAGGGAAUGAAAGGACUUCCCCAAAAGUGUUUCCAUUUGAAAUGUUUUGAAACCUCAUUUGAAAGUAAUGCAAACUUGAUGCCACUCAAGGACUUUCAAGAGAGGAGAUGAAAUGACUUCUCCAAAGUUUAAUGAAAGAGAGUGGGGUGUUAAACCACUUUUGGAAUUCCAUUUGGAAUCCUUCCCAUUUGAAUAGUUUCAAAUUCCUCUGACCCAUUUCAAAAAUAAAGAGAGGAGCAACAUGACACUCCAAACCAGGGGCAAAUUUGAAAUAUAUUUGAAUGAGGAAAACGGAAAAGAUUUGGAAGUGGUUUGAAUUUCAACUUCAAAACCAUUUAGGAGUUAUUUGGCUUCAAAUCAAAUUAUUUUUCUCCCAAAAAUAAAUAAAUGGAAAUAAGGGUAAAAUGAUUCCCUUCAAUGGAAAAUUAGGAGAAAUGUUUUUUUUGAAAUCAUAAAUGUAUUUUAUUGGGUUUUAUUGCAACAGCAGCACUGUUUGACUUUUAUUGAUUUUUCUGUAUUUUAUUUGUCUCUUAGAAAUAGUUCAUAUUUUAGGAAUUCUUUUUCUAAACAUUUUUAUAUAUAAUAUGUCUAUGUAAAAGUCUUAUUGUUUUUCUUUUAGUUAUUUUGUUCUUGUGUGUGUUACUUAAAAAAAAGGCCAAAGCCAGCAGUGCCCAGCCCGAGGCCCAUCUCUCUCUCCCUCCGCCGCGGCCCACAGCGGUCCAGCCCGCGCACGCGCCCGAAACCCCUCCCCACCAGGCGCCCGCACCUCCCCCUCGUUCUCGCACUCGCUGACAACGGGGCCCGCGUCGUCUUCUUCCUCCGCAAGCCCCGCCCGAGCCAGAUCGCACCGGCCGCGCCGCCGAAUCCCGUGAUCCUCUCCCCGANNNNNNNNNNNNNNNNNNNNNNNNNNNNNNNNNNNNNNNNNNNNNNNNNNNNNNNNNNNNNNNNNNNNNNNNNNNNNNNNNNNNNNNNNNNNNNNNNNNNNNNNNNNNNNNNNNNNNNNNNNNNNNNNNNNNNNNNNNNNNNNNNNNNNNNNNNNNNNNNNNNNNNNNNNNNNNNNNNNNNNNNNNNNNNNNNNNNNNNNNNNNNNNNNNNNNNNNNNNNNNNNNNNNNNNNNNNNNNCCCCCUAUAUAUACUCUCCCCCUCGACCCGUUCCACUCCUUUCCCUGCACCAAGGACCACCGCUGCCUCCCCGAUUCCUCGCCGGAUCCGAGCGCCACCGCCACACCAUUGUUGCCUUACCUCACCACCCCGACCACCUAGCCGCCACUUGAGAUCACCACCGUAACCCCCUCGCUCGUCCGCACCUUCCCGUGCGCUCGCACGAGCCCAAAACCCACCGGAGCGCCGCCACCGCCGACGCCCGAACGCCACCGCCACCUCGACCUCGACGCCGACCUCCUCCGUCAACCUACGACGCCGCCUCGACCACCGCUGGACUCGCCGUCGAACGCCUCGUCCGCUCGUGCCCUCGCCGGAGCUCUCCGACGACCGGAGCGCCGUCGAUGACGACGUCCGAGCCGCAUCGCCGACGACCAUCACCGCUGUAAGCUCCGACGACCCUCCCCGCCUUUAGAUCUUCAUUAUACGGCCUAGAUUAGAUGCAAACACAUAGGUAGGUUUUAUGUAUUAGAUCGGUUUUUAUGCUGUUUUAUUUACGGUUUAGAUUGGUUCAGAUCGAACCGGGCCUCCUCCGGUUUUCUGCUUUAGCCGCACAGUCACGGUUUCGUUAAGUUACAACCGAGCGUUGUUUAGUUCAGAGCGCCCACUGCUUAGGCCCAAUUGCAGCCCGACGCGUAGCUCCUGCCCGUUUGUUUUUUUUCAGUUUAUUUUCGUUUCUGUUUUAGAAACAGAAAUAGUUUCAAUUUUAGAUUGCUUAUAACUUUUAUGUUUUAUAUCCAAAUUGAGUGAUUCUUUUUGCGCUGUGUCACAAAUUUGUUUAAGUUUCUGUUUUUGUACUUACGUUUCAAAUUUGAGUAGUUUAAACUUGAGUUUGAUGAAAUUUGUUCAAAUCACUAAUUUGGCCGUAUCUUGAGUUUUAUAAAAUAUUCUUGAUUGAUUCUUUUUGCUACGGUUUUGUUAUUGUGUUGUCUAUCCAGAGUCAUAUAGUGAUUUAUUUUUAGUUUAUUUUAAAUUGAGUUUUUAUCAAAACAGUACUGUUUUAGUUAUAGUUUUGUUUUUGUCUUUUUUUAUUGUUUUUAUUAGUUUUAAAUUAUUUCGUUUUGUCACUCUUGAAAAUUUUAGUUUUGUUUCUGCUAGUCAAGAAAAGAAAAUUUUGUUUUUAUUUUAAAAAUUUAUUUUACUUAGUUUUGUAUGAAAACUUGUUUAGGUCAUAGUUAGUGUUUCAUAAAAGCUUUUUAUUUGUUUCUUUUUGCUAUUAAAAGUUUAUGAAAAAUACUUUCUGUUAAAAUUAGUUGUUUUAUAUUUUCUUUUCUGUUUAUUUAUUAUGUUAGUAUUUUCUUUGUUGUUAAAUUUUACUUAGGACAAAGCUAUUUUGGGUUAUGUCUUAGAAUUUUCUUUAGUGGUUUUCUUGUGUAGUUUUCAUUGGUUUUUUUAUUUUGUGUUCUUUGUGAUUUGCAUUUUAUUUGUUGAUUUUUUUGUGAGUGUUAGAAAUUGCUUGCUAGUAUGUUUGCUUAUGUGAAUACUAUGUUUUACUAUAUAGAUUUUCAUCGGAGAGUUGCGUAUAGUGCUAUCAUGUUUUGCGAGAGUGAUAUUAUCUUCAUCAAGUAAUACCAGGCAAGUUCACUUUGACCAUGUUUUUCAUACCUAUGUUUUAUUGCAUUUAGUGUCAUCUUUGCAACAAUCCCU